rnacentral:rRNA from 1 species
AUACGGAGGGUCCAAGCGUUAUCCGGAUUAAUUGGGUUUAAAGGGUCCGCAGGCGGGAAAAUAAGUCAGUGGUGAAAGCCUACAGCUCAACUGUAGAACUGCCAUUGAUACUGUUUUUCUUGAGUAUAGAUGAAGUGGGCGGAAUAUAUCAUGUAGCGGUGAAAUGCAUAGAUAUGAUAUAGAACACCGAUUGCGAAGGCAGCUCACUAAACUAUUACUGACGCUCAGGGACGAAAGCGUGGGGAGCGAACAGGAUUAGAUACCCUAGUAGUCC